UUCCUUAACACCAUGCCAAACCAAACACAUUCCUUAACAACAAUGUAUCUCAACUGAUAACAGAAAACCGGUAACAGAAAAUUCAACAGAAAUUCAUUCACUAACCACAUUCAUUUAGCAAUAGGACAAUUCACAAUUAACAGAAACAUGCCUAACUAAACUCUAACCGAAUUUCACAUCUAAGAAACUAACCUAACUGUUAUUUUCCAGUUAACAACCUAACCGUUUCUCACCAAUCCCCAUAACUAACGGUGUAACCAACUCUCAACUAACUUUGGCUCGAUCUAGUUUACAGGAGGAAAACUCUGAUAUCCUUCAACUUCUAUAAAACCUCAUCAUCACACUGAAAAUUAAAACUUUUCAUUCAUCAUUUUUCGGGAAUCAUUGACCACUCUCAGAACCACCCUCACAGGACCUUCAUUCAUCACUUCCAGGAAUCAUUCCAUUCAUGCUCCAAUCACUAGUUCACUCUUCAAUCCCUCACCCUCUCAAUUCAACAACCUCUCAUAACGUGUAUGCAGCAAGAACAUAAGCAGGUGUAGAAGAAGUAGAAGAGGAAACAUUGAAUUCAUAAAGGAAGGAAGAAGUUCAGAGUAAAAGACUUACCAGAACCGUUUUCAUCUUCAUCGUCUCCGACAGGUAGGUUUACUUCUUUCACCAUUUCGCUUCAAAUCGAUUAUCGUGAUGUAGCUUAAGGUGUGGGGAACCAAAGCCCGAAACAUUUGGGUUUUGAUUUCGUGUAAUUAGGAUUUAAUUUAAAUUUUG
rnacentral:lncRNA from 1 species